rnacentral:rRNA from 1 species
UACGGGGGGGCAAGCGUUGUUCGGAAUUACUGGGCGUAAAGGGCGCGUAGGCGGCCUUCUAAGUCAGACGUGAAAUCCCUCGGCUCAACCGAGGAACUGCGUCUGAUACUGGAAGGCUUGAAUCGGGAGAGGGAUGUGGAAUUCAGGUGUAGCGGUGAAAUGCGUAGAUAUCAGGAGGAACACCAAUUGCGAAGGCAGCUCGCUGGGACGUUACUGACGCUGAGACGCGAAAGCGUGGGGAGCAAACAGG